CCUACGGGAGGCAGCAGUGGGGAAUAUUGGACAAUGGGCGCAAGCCUGACCCAGCAACGCCGCGUGAAUGAAGAAGGCUUUCGGGUUGUAAACUUCUUUUCUCAGGGACGAAGAAAGUGACGGUACCUGAGGAAUAAGCCACGUCUAACUACGUGCCAGCAGCCGCGGUAAUACGUGGGUGGCAAGCUUUAUCCGGAUUUAUGGGGUGUAAAGGGCGUGUAGGCGGGAGCGCAAGUCAUAUGUGAAAACUCAGGGCUUAACCCUGAGACUGCAUAUGAAACUGUGUUUCUUGAGUGCUGGAGAGGUAAGUGGAAUUCCGGGUGUAGCGGUGAAAUGCGUAGAUAUAAGGAAGAACACCAGUGGCGAAGGCGGAUUGCUGGACAGUAACUGACGCUGAGGCGCGAAAGCGUGGGGAGCAAACAGGAUUAGAUACCCGUGUAGUC
rnacentral:rRNA from 1 species